CAACCAUUUCGAACAAUCGCGCGGUAACAUACCGAAAGGUCUUACCGUGAGGAAAGUCCGGGCUUCACAGAUCAGGAUAACGGAUAACUUCCGCCGAAGGCGACUUCCGGGCCAGUGCAACAGAAAUAAACCGCCUGAAUUUUUUUCAGGUAAGGAUGGAAAGGCGAGGUAAGAACUCACCGGUGUGUCGGAGACGGCACAGCCAUGUAAACCCUAUCCGAAGCAACACCCUAUCGGGCGCUAAUGCUUGCUCGGCAGCCCACUGGGUGGC
rnacentral:RNase_P_RNA from 1 species